GACAAACAGGGCCAAGUUAAGAAACAAAACAGUAGAAAAGGGGGUUAGAAAGAUGCAGAAAAAUGAUUAUUAAUAAUUAGCAAAGAGAAAUUAUGCUUUUUGUGGAGGUGGAAUUUGGGCAGAAAGAAUAAUCUUUUAUUCUCUUUAAUUUUGAUACCCCGAAAUCUUAAACUAAAAACCGGGAUUAGAUACCCCGCUAUUUGAGAUGUAAAUUUUAAUUUGAUGUUUGAUUUACUUGAGGAUUACGAAUUUUUAGCUGUUGCUAUUUAAGUUAUUUAAAACUCAAAAGACUUGGCGGUGCCUUAAAUCCUUUCAGGGGAACCUGUCCUGUAAUUGAUAGUCCACGAUUUAUCUUUCCUUUUUUUGAACUUAAUUUUAUGUCAGUUUGUAUACCGUCGUCGUCAGAUCACCUUUAAAAGGGAAGAAGUUAUCAAUAAAAGUGGAUACUAAUCGUUUUGACUUUAUAGUCAUUAUUGAUGUAUGUUUUUAGACGUCAGAUCAAGGUGCAGCCUAUAAAGGGGUAGAGAUGGGUUACAAUAAUUAGUUAUUAUACGUACCUUUUAUUGAAAAAUAAAAUUGAAGGAGGACUUGAAAGUAAUAUAGUAAAAGAAAUAGAGAGUCUUAAUGAAGGCGGUCCUAAGGCGUGC
rnacentral:rRNA from 1 species